rnacentral:rRNA from 1 species
AGAACGAACGCUGGCGGCAGGCCUCAAACAUGCAAGUCUAGGGGGUGUAGCAAUACAUCACCGGCGGACGGGUGCGUAACGCGUGGGAAUGUACCUAUUGGUUCGGAACAACUGAGGGAAACUUCAGCUAAUACCGGAUGAGCCCGAAAGGGGAAAGAUUUCUCGCCAAUAGAUCAGCCCGCGUCCGAUUAGCUAGUUGGUGGGGUUAAAGCCUACCAAGGCGACGAUCGGUAGCUGUUCUGAGAGGAAGAUCAGCCACACUGGGACUGAGACACGGCCCAGACUCCUACGGGAGGCAGCAGUUGGGAAUCUUGGACAAUGGGGGAACCCUGAUCCAGCCAUGCCGCGUGAGUGAUGAAGGCCUUCGGGUUGUAAAACUCUUUCGACGGGGACGAUAAUGACGGUACCCGUAGAAGAAGCUCCGGCUAACUUCGUGCCAGCAGCCGC